rnacentral:rRNA from 1 species
AUUGAACGCUGGCGGCAGGCCUAACACAUGCAAGUCGAACGAGUGGCGGACGGGUUAGUAAUGUCUGGGAAACUGCCCGAUGGCGGGGGAUAACUACUGGAAACGAUAGCUCAUACCGCAUACCCUCGGAUGUGCCCAAAUGGGAUUAGCUAGUAGGGGGGGUAACGGCUCACCUAGGCGACGAUCCCUAGCUGGUCUGAGAGGAUGACCAGCCACACUGGCACUGAGAACAGGUCCAGACUCCUACGGGAGGCAGCAGUGGGGAAUAUUGCACAAUGGGCGAAAGCCUGAUGCAGCGAUGCCGCGUGUAUGAAGAAGGCCUGCGGGGUGUAAAGUACGUUCAGCGAGGAGGCGUUACUCGCAGAAGAAGCACCGGCUAACUCCGUGCCAGCCGCCGCGGUAAUUC